rnacentral:rRNA from 1 species
UUGCACGCUGGCGGCAUGCCUUACCCAUGCAAGUCGAACGGCAGCACGGGUGCUUGCCCCUGGUGGCGAGUGGCGAACGGGUGAGUAAUACAUCGGAACAUGUCCUGUAGUGGGGGAUAGCCCGGCGAAAGCCGGAUUAAUACCGCAUACGAUCCACGGAUGAAAGCGGGGGACCUUCGGGCCUCGCGCUAUAGGGUUGGCCGAUGGCUGAUUAGCUAGUUGGUGGGGUAAAGGCCUACCAAGGCGACGAUCAGUAGCUGGUCUGAGAGGACGACCAGCCACACUGGGACUGAGGCACGGCCCAGACUCCUACGGGAGGCAGCAGUGGGGAAUUUUGGACAAUGGGCGAAAGCCUGAUCCAGCAAUGCCGCGUGUGUGAAGAAGGCCUUCGGGUUGUAAAGCACUUUUGUCCGGAAAGAAAUCCUUGGCUCUAAUACAGUCGGGGGAUGACGGUACCGGAAGAAUAAGCACCGGCUAACUACGUG